CCAGAGAUCUGAGCUCUAGUGCAUUAUGCCAACUGGGUGUCCAAACUAAGUUCAGCACAAAUAUGGUGACCUCCAGGUUGCCUAAGGAGGGGUGAACUGGCUCAAGUCAGAAAAAACAAGUCAAAACUCCUGUGCUGAUCAGUAGUGGAAUCGCACCUGUGAAGAGCCACUAUGCUCCAGUCUGG
rnacentral:SRP_RNA from 1 species